rnacentral:rRNA from 1 species
AUCAACUUUCGAUGGUAGGAUAGAGGCCUACCAUGGUGGUAACGGGUAACGGGGUGUUAGGGCACGACACCGGAGAGGGAGCCUGAGAAACGGCUACCACAUCCAAGGAUGGCAGCAGGCGCGCAAAUUACCCAAUCCCGACACGGGGAGGUAGUGACAAUAAAUAACAACACGGGGUUCUUUCGGAUCUCGUAAUUGGAAUGAGUACAAUUUAAAUCUCUUAACGAGGAACAAUUGGAGGGCAAGUCUGGUGCCAGCAGCCGCGGUAAUUCCAGCUCCAAUAGCGUAUAUUAAAGUUGUUGCAGUUAAAAAGCUCGUAGUUGAAUUUCGGGGUUAGUAGGUUGGUCAUGCCUCUGGUAUGUACUGGUCUCACUGAUUCCUCCUUCCUGAUGAACCGUAAUGCCAUUAAUUUGGUGUUUCGGGGAAUUUGGACUGUUACUUUGAAAAAAUUAGAGUGUUUAAAGCAAGCUAACGCUUGAAUACAUUAGCAUGGAAUAAUGAAAUAGGACGUUCGAUCCUAUUUUGUUGGUUUCUAGGAUUGACGUAAUGAUUAAUAGGGAUAGUUGGGGGCAUUAGUAUUCAAUUGUCAGAGGUGAAAUUCUUGGAUUUAUUGAAGACUAACUACUGCGAAAGCAUUUGCCAAGGAUGUUUUCAUUAAUCAAGAACGAAAGUUAGGGGAUCGAAGACGAUCAGAUACCGUCGUAGUCUUAACCAUAAACUAUGCCGACUAGGGAUCGGAUGAUGUUAAUUUUUUAAUGACUCAUUCGGCGCCUUACGGGAAACCAAAGUGUUUGGGUUC